ensembl:lncRNA
AGUACAUAUCAGAAUGUUACUGCAGUACAUAUCAGAAUGUUACUGCAGUACAUAUCAGAAUGUUACUGUCAGAAUGUUACUGACAGUACAUAUCAGAAUGUUACUGACAGUACAUAUCAGAAUGUUACUACAGUACAUAUCAGAAUGUUACUGCAGUACAUAUCAGAAUGUUACUGACAGUACAUAUCAGAAUGUUACUGCAGUACAUAUCAGAAUGUUACUGACAGUACAUAUCAGAAUGUUACUGCAGUACAUAUCAGAAUGUUACUGCAGUACAUAUCAGAAUGUUACUGCAGUACAUAUCAGAAUGUCCCUUCUGUGUCUCUGAUAGGAUUAUAACAUGCUGUUACUGCAGUACAUGUCAGAAUGUCACUGCAGUACAUGUCAGAAUGUUACUGCAGUACAUAUCAGAAUGUUACUGCAGUACAUACCAGAAUGUUACUGCAGUACAUAUCAGAAUGUUACUGCAGUACAUAUCAGAAUGUUACUGCAGUACAUAUCAGAAUGUUACUGACAGUACAUAUCAGAAUGUUCCUGCAGUACAUAUCAGAAUGUUACUGCAGUACAUAUCAGAAUGUUACUGACAUACAUAUCAGAAUGUUACUGCAGUACAUAUCAGAAUGUUACUGCAGUACAUAUCAGAAUGUUACUGCAGUACAUAUCAGAAUGUUACUGCAGUACAUAUCAGAAUGUUACUGCAGUACAUAUCAGAAUGUUACUGACAGUACAUAUCAGAAUGUUACUGCAGUACAUAUCAGAAUGUUACUGCAGUACAUAUCAGAAUGUUACUGCAGUACAUAUCAGAAUGUUACUG